UCGCCCAAGAGAUCGGGAUAACACCUGGAAACAGAUGCUAAUACCGGAUAACAACAGAUGAUGCCUAUCAACUGUUUAAAAGAUGGUUCUGCUAUCACUCUUGGAUGGACCUGCGGUGCAUUAGCUAGUUGGUAGGGUAACGGCCUACCAAGGCGAUGAUGCAUAGCCGAGUUGAGAGACUGAUCGGCCACAUUGGGACUGAGACACGGCCCAAACUCCUACGGGAGGCAGCAGUC
rnacentral:rRNA from 1 species